rnacentral:rRNA from 1 species
UACAGAGGGUGCAAACGUUAAUCGGAAUUACUGGGCGUAAAGGGCGCGUAGGCGGUCAUAUAAGUUAGAUGUGAAAUCCCUGGGCUUAACCUAGGAACUGCAUCUGAUACUGUAUGGCUAGAGUAUUGUAGAGGGUAGUGGAAUUUCCGGUGUAGCGGUGGAAUGCGUAGAGAUCGGAAGGAACACCAGUGGCGAGGGCGGCUACCUGGACAAAUACUGACGCUGAGGCGCGAGAGCGUGGGGAGCAAACAGG